rnacentral:rRNA from 1 species
GACGAACGCUGGCGGCGUGCCUAAUACAUGCAAGUUGAGCGCUGAAGGUUGGUACUUGUACCGACUGGAUGAGCAGCGAACGGGUGAGUAACGCGUGGGGAAUCUGCCUUUGAGCGGGGGACAACAUUUGGAAACGAAUGCUAAUACCGCAUAAAAACUUUAAACACAAGUUUUAAGUUUGAAAGAUGCAAUUGCAUCACUCAAAGAUGAUCCCGCGUUGUAUUAGCUAGUUGGUGAGGUAAAGGCUCACCAAGGCGAUGAUACAUAGCCGACCUGAGAGGGUGAUCGGCCACAUUGGGACUGAGACACGGCCCAAACUCCUACGGGAGGCAGCAGUAGGGAAUCUUCGGCAAUGGACGAAAGUCUGACCGAGCAACGCCGCGUGAGUGAAGGAGGUUUUCGGAUCGUAAAACUCUGUUGGUAGAGAAGAACGUUGGUGAGAGUGGAAAGCUCAUCAAGUGACGGUAACUACCCAGAAAGGGACGGCUAACUACGUG